UGGUAUUGGCAAGCUGUUUAUCCCAGUGAGCAGAAAGAUGCAGGAUCCAGUACAGAGAUGGCAGAGAUACAAGGACUUUACCCAUGUUCCAGGCAAAGUUUCCAAGAAUGUAGCUGCUGAAGACUCAGGAAUUUUGGAGAGCUCUCCCGGGACCACAGCUAUCCUUCAAGCGUCCCAUUAAUUUCUGCAGAGAAGUGGGCGGGGCUCUGUGAUGGAGACAUUCCCACCUGUCGCCCUAAUGCUCCUGGGACCUUCCCUUCAGGAACUCCCAAAGGGGAGUCCCAGAGAUUCUGCAUAUAUGCCCUGCACAAGCCCUCUCACUUCUCCACCUUCUCUGCGGUACCCUUUAUAAAUAGAAAUUACUAUACAGUAUGCUAACACUGAA